UGGAGACUGUNUGACUUGAGUGCAGAAGGGGAGAGUGGAAUUCCAUGNGUAGCGGUGAAAUGCGUAGAUAUAUGGAGGAACACCAGUGGCGAAAGCGGCUCUCUGGUCUGUCACUGACGCUGAGGCUCGAAAGCGUGGGUAGCGAACAGGAUUAGAUUCCCUGGUAGUNCACGCCGUAAACGAUGUGUGCUAGGUGUUAGGCCCUUUCCGGGGCUUAGUGCCGGAGCUAACGCAAUAAGCACUCCGCCUGGGGAGUACGACCGCAAGGUUGAAACUCAAAGGAAUUGACGGGGGCCCGCACAAGCGGUGGAGCAUGUGGUUUAAUUCGAAGCAACGCGAAGAACCUUACCAGGUCUUGACAUCCCGAUGCUAUUCUUAGAGAUAGGAAGUUACUUCGGUACAUCGGAGACAGGUGGUGCAUGGUUGUCGUCAGCUCGUGUCGUGAGAUGUUGGGUUAAGUCCCGCAACGAGCGCAACCCUUAUUGUUAGUUGCCAUCAUUAAGUUGGGCACCCUAGCGAGACUGCCGGUAAUAAACCGGAGGAAGGUGGGGAUGACGUCAAAUCAUCAUGCCCCUUAUGACCUGGGCUACACACGUGCUACAAUGGUCGGUACAAUGAGUUGCGAGCCGGUGACGGCAAGCUAAUCUCUGAAAGCCGAUCUCAGUUCGGAUUGGAGGCUGCAACUCGCCUCCAUGAAGUCGGAAUCGCUAGUAAUCGCGGAUCAGCACGCCGCGGUGAAUACGUUCCCGGGCCUUGUACACACCGCCCGUCACACCACGAGAGUUUGUAACACCCGAAGUCGGUGAGGUAACCUUUUAGGGGCCAGCCG
rnacentral:rRNA from 1 species